CGUCCUAUUAGCUAGUUGGUGAGGUAAUGGCUCACCAAGGCUACGAUGGGUAGGGGUUCUUAGUGGAAGAUCCCCCACACUGGCACUGAGAUACGGGCCAGACUCCUACGGGAGGCAGCAGUAGGGAAUAUUGGUCAAUGGGCGAAAGCCUGAACCAGCCAUGCCGCGUGCAGGGUGAAGGCUCUCUGAGUUGCAAACUGCUUUUGUACAGGAGCAAAACAAUCCCUGCGGGGGUUCUUGAGAGUACUGUAAGAAUAAGCACCGGCUAAUUCCGUGCCAGCAGCCGCGGUAAUACGGAAGGUGCAGGCGUUAUCCGGUUUUAUUGGGUUUAAAGGGUGCGUAGGCGGCUUAUUAAGUCAGUUGUGAAAUCCUAGUGCUUAACGCUAGAACUGCAAUUGAUACUAUU
rnacentral:rRNA from 1 species